GACGAACGCUGGCGGCGUGCCUAAUACAUGCAAGUCGAACGCACUCUCGUUUAGAUUGAAGGAGCUUGCUCCUGAUUGAUAAACAUUUGAGUGAGUGGCGGACGGGUGAGUAACACGUGGGUAACCUGCCCUAAAGUGGGGGAUAACAUUUGGAAACAGAUGCUAAUACCGCAUAAAACCUAACACCGCAUGGUGUAGGGUUGAAAGAUGGUUUCGGCUAUCACUUUAGGAUGGACCCGCGGUGCAUUAGUUAGUUGGUGAGGUAAAGGCUCACCAAGACCGUGAUGCAUAGCCGACCUGAGAGGGUAAUCGGGCCACACUGGGACUGAGACACGGCCCAGACUCCUACGGGAGGCAGCAGUAGGGAAUCUUCCACAAUGGACGAAAGUACUGAUGGAGCAACGCCGCGUGAGUGAAGAAGGUUUCGGAUCGUAAAACUCUAGUUGUUGGAGAAGAAUGUAUCUGAUAGUAACUGAUCAGGUAGUGACGGUAUCC
rnacentral:rRNA from 1 species